UCCACUGGGCUGAGCUCUCACCUCAGAAAGGUUCAUGACAGCAGUGCCAGUGCCUUCAGCAUCCAUGCUACGGAAGAACCCUGCAAGGACACAAGCACAAGGACUCUGACAGCAGGAGCCCCCUCCCCAGCCUCCAGCCCAGUCCCAUCCUUCUCCAGACCUACCGGCUGACUCUAGAGCCAUGCGCAUCUCAUAGGAGCUCAUGGUGCCUGACUUAUCCAGGUCGUACUGGCGGAAGAUCGUCUGCAAAAACAUCACAGAGGACAUGAGGGGAAGACUCUCCUUUGGCCUCCACCCUGGCUGUCCCCUCUCUUUGCUGCCCCAGGAGGGGGGCUACCCCUGUGCAGUGCACCAUGCCCCCUCUCCUCCUCACCAGCCAGCUCCGGAUCUUGUUCCACAGGAUCUGGAAUUCCACCAGCCCAAGGCGGGCACUGCCGUCUUUCUGGGGAGCAGAGGGUCAAGGAGGUCAAAGCAGCCAGGAAAGGGGGUGGUGCAAAGGCAAAGCUCCCAGAUCCCAGCCACCUGAGGCAAGAAAAGCCUGGACACACUUGCUCUGCCCAAUUUUUCCUCCAACCUUCCCCUCUAUCCUGCAACAUCGGCAAAAUAAGAGACUGCAAUCCAGCAAGGAAAGGGAACUAGCUGCCAUGUCAUUCCCUGGGGCCAGCCGUGCUGCUGCUGUAGGAAGCACAUUGCUGUGCUGUCCUUGGACCGAAGCUGGGCUGGCCUGCAGCAAAAAGGGAAGUUGUAGGGCCAGGCUGGAGAAGGGCUCAGAGGUGCUCCUUGCCUGACCCCUCAGCUGCAUGUCGUUGUGCAAGCAGGACACCAGCCAUGGCUCUUGUCGCUUGACACCUCUCAUCCACAACAGCUGGACAGGAUGGUUUGGGGUCAAGAAGCCCAGUAGUCCUUGUUCCCUUCCAGGAGUGCCUCAAAGGCUGGGUGGCACAACAGCACAUCAGGCUGGGGAGCCCGUGGGAAGUGAAGCUUUUCUUUGAGGUGAAAGUAGAAGGCAUGGAAUGGGACCAUGCUGGGCUUUUGGUGGCAGAGCCAGGGCCCAAGCAAACAGGGGAAGUGAUGGCCCUUUCAAAAAAACCUGCUCCCAAAGCCAAAGAGUAUAGAGCAGGCAGCCCUGAAGCCAUAAGGACCCCUUCCUUUCCUCCACCGGUUGAACAGCUUCGGCACUGCUGGAGAGCCAAGCCCCAGCUCCAACAGAGAAGUCUUGUUUCCAGCAGGCUGAGCACCAGGAAAGCUGGCCCCAGCCCACAGCACCAAGAGGAUACAUCCAUCAGGUUGACCAUGUUGCGGCAGGAGUCCAGGCUGAACCCAUCUGUUUUCAGAUCUUUGUCUGAGGAGAAAGGAGGAGGUUGAGCACAUGCCUCAAAACCCAACCUGCUGAGCAAGCCUGGGCUGCAGGGAGCAAGGGGUGGGAAGAGUAGUGCUUACGUCUAGAGAUGACUCUGUUCAGAAUAGUCCGAAGCUCAAAGACACUGAUUUCCAUGUCCUGGAGCAGAAUCAGAGUUAGCAUCACCCCUUGCCUGCUCUCCACCCCACUUGUGGCCAUUGUCCCCCUCCUGCCUAAACAUCUCUGCCUUAGUCACAAAACAUGAGGAUGCCAUUACAUUUCUGGCACACCCAGAAGAGUUUUGGUCACAGCUGGAUGCUCUUCCCCAAAUCUACCCGUCACACCAUCCCUGAAGGCAGCUGGGCUGAGCAAAGAUGGACUUGUCUGCAGGAUGAGACUGAGUGAGCACGGGGUGGGCUGGAACUCCCACGGCCAGGGGUUCGGUCCUGUUCCCUUUCCUCCCCUCCCCAGGGGGCCUUCCAGAGCUUGGCACAGCCAUACCCACCUCCCCUGCCAGCUGCUGGAACAUGUUCUUGAAGCUGUCCUCUAUGUCAUCCUCAGUUAUUUCCUCCUGGGGUGAUGCAAACCAGAAAGAAGAGGUUAGUGGUCAAACCCAGGCUCUGCCCUGCCUCCCAGGCUCAGUAAAUGCCAACUGGAAAGGAA